AUAAACAUUUGUUUCAGUUGACAAUAAAGACACUAUUGUUUGAGUUGUGACCAAGUGACAUUAGCUUAAUUGAUAAAGACUAUAGACGAAACAUAGAGGUCACCGGUUCGAGUGACGGUUGGAACGAAACUAAUAUUACAUGUUGUGGUUUUUGGCAUGGAGGUUUACGGACUUCGACCCAUAACCUUUUGGUAUUAAAA
rnacentral:sRNA from 1 species